ACAAUGAGGUAGCAUAACUACAAGAGUGCUAUCUCUACAAGCUGUGAAAGCUGACCGAAGGCAAAGCGUACAUGAGUAGACAAAAGGGGAAUUUCCCCUGUUUCUCCUUUCCUCCACCUCUAAAUCCAGAUGGGAAAAGGCAGUAUGUCACAGGAGAAAGUGACAAGCACUAUGCCUAGCCUGCAAAACAGGGCAGGUGGCUGGACAGAUCAUUGCAAAGGGAUUCCUAAACCAGACUAAAAUAUGCACAAACUCUUUAAAAAAUCAUUAGUAUACAAUCACACUGCAAAAGGAGCACAAAGGGACUUUCUCUGAAUUCCACAUACUCUGGCUGCCUUUUCCUCCUGCUCCACACCUGGUAAGUCCAUUUUUGCAAGCUCUCAGAAGUCCAGUUCUAUAUCUUCAGUUGCACAGACUGAACGUCUGGCUGAUAUUCUUAGUCUAUGAGGUCCUGGAGCUCCUCGUCAGUCAGCUCAUUGACCUCCAUGAUCUUUUCCAAGUGCUCCAUAUACCGGGCAUGGUCUUGCAGGAAGUGCGGUACCCUCAUGUUCUCAAUCACAGCCAACCCUUUCAGGCGGUCUACGUCUUCGUAUGAGAUCUUUCCAAGUGCUGUCAGAAGGUGAAAAUCAAUGGACUCCCUGUAUCUCAGAAUUCGGAGGAUGCCAUCUAAGUACACCUGAUCCUUAUUGAAACAACCUGGCUGUGAUGUGUCAGUCCACCCUCUCUUAGCUCGUACACAGUAAUCCCACCUGGUAUUGGGGUCCUGGACAAAUUUCCCCACAUCCUGGAACAGCUGGCUGAAGGACAUCUGGCUGGCCUGAUAGACAGUGUAGUAGAGCAGGGCAGCCCUCCAAAGGAAAGGGUCUUUGCGGAAGAGGACGCUGUGAAUGCUUGCCAGCCCUUCUUCUGUAGGGUUGAUGGGUUUCAACCCAUGUUUUCUACGUCCGUUCCAGUUGCACCAAGGCUGGCUAUUGUUGUUAAAACCCCGAAAAUAAUGAGUUCCUGAAAAGAAAGGAAUGUGAGACUUAGAAUUAACAUCUAAUGGUUUAAAAAUGGGAAAAUACUAAAGCCGAGGACAGUUACAGAACUCCGAACUAAUAGGGCUGGGCUUAGGUGAAAGUGCCAAAUUUAGCACAGUCUGCAACAGAGAAUUUUGUCAGAGGUAGAUGAGCAGUGCAAAUAUUCACCUGCUGACCACAACAUGAAGCUCUUGAAAAUGCCUAAGGUACAUAAACGUCAGCAGAACUUGAGCUCCUAAAUCCACGAAAAGGAACUUUCAAAAGUGCCUUACAUGCUGGUUGCCUCAAGCAUGGCCUAGGCUUUGUGGUGAACAGAAGGAAGGAGAAUCAAAUAAAGGAAACUCUCAGGGAGCAGAAAAAUUGCCUCUUGAAACUGAUUAAGGACCCUACUGCAGCCUUGGAAGAGACUGCUGUUCCAUUACAACAUGAGAAAUGAUGCUCCAGGGCAAUUACAGGGCUUAUUCUUCAGCUGAAACUCAGACACUACCCAGACUUAUCUAGUU
rnacentral:lncRNA from 1 species